CUCCUGUACGGUGUACAUUUUAGGACAUCGUCAGGUAUCAGAAAAAAAAUUGUCAGGUGUCAGUUGUCAAAAAAAAAAUUGUCAGGUAUCAGAAAAAAAAUUGUCAGGUGUCAGUUGUCAAAAAAAAAAAAGUCAGGUAUCAGACAAAAAAUUGUCAGGUGUCAGAAAAAAAGUUGUCAGGUAUCAGAAAAAAAAUUGUCAGGUGUCAGAAAAAAAGUUGUCAGGUGUCAGAAAAAAAGUUGUCAGGUGUCAGAAAAAAAAUUGUCAGGUGUCAGAAAAAAAAUUGUCAGGUGUCAGAAAAAAAGUUGUCAGGUGUCAGAAAAAAAAUUGUCAGGUGUCAGAAAAAAAGUUGUCAGGUGUCAGAAAAAAAGUUGUCAGGUGUCAGAACACAAGGUACCAGAGAGAAAAUCUUCCUGCAGGUGGCGCUGUUGUCAUGUCCCACCCGAAUUGAUUUCCAAAUACGUCAUCAACGUGUGACCGUGGGAGAGCGUAAGGUCAUUGACCUCACCGGAGUUUUACCGUGGUUCAGGCUCCUAACGACACAAGGUAAGUUUAACUUUUUC
ensembl:lncRNA